GGCCGCAGUUCCCCCGAUCUUAUGUGCUGCCAGCGUAGAGAAACAAGGAUCGUUGCUGGGCGCCUGACGUUGAUCUAGUGUGAUACGUUGGGAAUCAGCUGUAUCCACA